UUAGCAACAAUAUGUUGCGAAGGAUUAAGAAAUUUUGCUGGGACAUGAAAUUGGGUGGUCGCAGGAAGGAACAGGUUGCAGAAAAAUGAGCUCUUUGCGCAACCUGGACAACGGUUAUUAAGACAAAGUAGCAGGAGACAGCAGACGAAGCAAGCAAAGCAACGACGCAAAGGUACUCCGCUACAUCGACAAGUACACCGUCGCUUCAUCGCUGGGUCGGCGAAGCUUCCUCCGAUCUCUCUCGCUCGCUCGCUUUCCUCUUGCCCCCACCAAAAUUAGGGCUCUGUCGUCCUUGCCUCAGGGUCCUGCAAAAUAGGAGUGGUCACCCCUUUGAUCCAAUUUCCGAUUUUGAGGAGAUGGGUCUCUGGGAUUCUCUUCUCAUCUGGCUCAGGAGCUUGUUUUUCAAACAAGAAAUGGAACUUUCCCUCGUAGGUCUUCAGAAUGCUGGAAAAACUUCUCUUGUAAAUGCUAUUGCUACAGGAGGCUACACUGAAGACAUGAUACCAACUGUUGGUUUCAAUAUGCGAAAAGUAACAAAAGGAAAUGUGACAAUAAAACUUUGGGACCUUGGAGGGCAGCGGAGGUUUCGCACCAUGUGGGAGCGUUACUGCCGCGGGGUCUCUGCUAUUGUAUAUGUAGUCGAUGCUGCUGAUAGAGACAGCGUUCCUAUAGCACGAAGUGAGCUGCACGAGCUCUUGAUGAAGCCUUCCUUGAGUGGGAUUCCUCUUCUGGUGCUAGGGAACAAAAUUGACAAGUCAGAAGCUCUUUCGAAGCAGGCAUUGGUAGAUCAACUAGGGCUUGAAUCAAUCAAAGACAGAGAGGUGUGCUGCUAUAUGAUCUCAUGCAAGGAUUCCGUCAACAUAGAUGCUGUUAUUGAUUGGCUCAUUAAGCACUCUAAAACUGCCAAGUGAGCAACUGUUUGGCCUAAACUUUUUUAGCUUUGAUGGAAGAGUGCUUUUUGCUAUACAUGUACUCUUUUUGUUUCAUUGGUUAUUUGUGUUCCCUAAUAAGAGUUUCUGUACAGAAUCUGAACUGUAGAAGCAUGAUCUCCAUUUAUUGUUUUCCGAUAUCUAAAUC